rnacentral:rRNA from 1 species
GGAGGAUGCAAGCGUUAUCCGGAAUGAUUGGGCGUAAAGCGUCCGCAGGUGGCUAUGUAAGUCUGCUGUUUAAGAGUGAGGCUCAACCUCAUAAGAGCAGUGGAAACUACAUGGCUAGAGUGCGUUCGGGGCAGAGGGAAUUCCUGGUGUAGCGGUGAAAUGCGUAGAUAUCAGGAAGAACACCGGUGGCGAAAGCGCUCUGCUAGGCCGCAACUGACACUGAGGGACGAAAGCUAGGGGAGCGAAUGGG